rnacentral:rRNA from 1 species
GACGAACGCUGGCGGCGUGCUUAACACAUGCAAGUCGAACGGAAAGGCCCCUUUGGGGGUACUCGAGUGGCGCACGGGUGCGUAACACGUGAGUAACCUGCCCUUGACUUCGGGAUAACUUCAGGAAACUGGGGCUAAUACCGGAUAGGAAUCCUUGCUGCAUGGUGGGGGUUGGAAAGCUUCGGCGGUUUUGGAUGGACUCGCGGCCUAUCAGCUUGUUGGUGGGGUAGUGGCUUACCAAGGCUUUGACGGGUAGCCGGCCUGAGAGGGCGACCGGCCACAUUGGGACUGAGAUACGGCCCAGACUCCUACGGGAGGCAGCAGUGGGGAAUAUUGCACAAUGGGCGGAAGCCUGAUGCAGCAACGCCGCGUGCGGGAUGACGGCCUUCGGGUUGUAAACCGCUUUCAGCAGGGGCGAAGCUUGUGGUGACGGUACCUGCAGAAGAAGCACCGGCUAACUACGUG